GUCCCCAGAAUCACUCGUUUUCAUUCAUGAGGACUCUGGGAACGAGAAUACUUGCAAGAAUGUAAGGAAUGUGAAAUUUGGACCAACAAGAUGGCGGCCAGAGAGGGAAAAGAGGUUCACCCUUCUCAAAUUAAAAAUAAGUAAAGACGGAGUUCUCUCUACCAGAAACAAAAGUUCAAGAAAGCAAAAGAAGAAAGGGAUAGAAAACGUAAACAAAAACAGAAGCAAUCGCAGGAAGAAGGAGAGGUAGGGCUAUAAAAACAUGUAAACAGAACUGCACGUGGAUCCAUAUCCUAAUGAAAAACUGGGAUAACCACAUGCUUUGAGGAGAAAUGGGAAGGAGGAAGUUAAAAGAAGUAGGAUCAAAAAAGUGGCACACAAGACUGGUUCAUGAAAACUGAUCCGUCCGUUUGGCCAUGAUGCUAGUAGCUUUAUGACUAGAGGUUAGAGAAGCUUACCUUGACAAAGGACACCGUCCCCAAUGAAUCCUUUAAGGCAAGAACAGUUAUAUGAACCUACAGUGUUGGUACAUUUAGCCUUUUUGUGACAGUUGUUGAGAUCAGGUGCUUGGCACUCAUCAAAGUCUGUUUUAAGAUGAAAAUUUGAUUAUUGGGGAAGAGUAAAUAACUAAAUAGAACAUUAAAGGGAAGGUAAAGGAACGAA